GGAUGCGACCAUACCAGUAGUAAAGCAUCGGAUCCCAUCAGAACUUUGAAGUUAAGCGUGCUCGAGCGAGAGUAGUACUAGGAUGCGUGACCUCCUGGGAAGUCCUCGUGUUGCAUUAC
rnacentral:rRNA from 3 species